CUGGCUCAGGAUGAACGCUAGCGACAGGCUUAACACAUGCAAGUCGAGGGGCAGCACGGGAGUAGCAAUACUUGGUGGCGACCGGCGCACGGGUGAGUAACGCGUAUGCAACCUACCUAUCAGGAGGGGAAUAACCCGGCGAAAGUCGGACUAAUACCGCAUAAAACAGGGGCACCGCAUGGUGAUAUUUGUUAAAGAAAUUCGCUGAUAGAUGGGCAUGCGUUCCAUUAGGUAGUUGGUGAGGUAACGGCUCACCAAGCCGACGAUGGAUAGGGGAACUGAGAGGUUGGUCCCCCACACUGGUACUGAGACACGGACCAGACUCCUACGGGAGGCAGCAGUGAGGAAUAUUGGUCAAUGGGCGGGAGCCUGAACCAACCAAGUCGCGUGAAGGAAGAAGGAUCUAUGGUUCGUAAACUUCUUUUGCAGGGGAAUAAAGUGCAGGACGUGUCCUGUUUUGUAUGUACCCUGAGAAUAAGGAUCGGCUAACUCCGUGCCAGCCGCCGC
rnacentral:rRNA from 1 species